rnacentral:rRNA from 1 species
GACGUAGGGCGCGAGCGUUGUCCGGAUUUAUUGGGCGUAAAGAGCUCGUAGGCGGUCUGUCGCGUCGAAUGUGAAAACCCGGGGCUCAACUCCGGGCUUGCAUUCGAUACGGGCAGACUAGAGUUCGGUAGGGGAGACUGGAAUUCCUGGUGUAGCGGUGAAAUGCGCAGAUAUCAGGAGGAACACCGGUGGCGAAGGCGGCCCACUGGUCCGGUACUGACGCUGAGGUGCGAAAGCGUGGGGAGCAAACAGG